GAGGAUGGGGGUGAGAGACCUAAAAGUUCUGAGAUUGACCAAAACGUGAAAGAAGACGAACCGAAGAGUCCACAGAUUGAAAUAAAUUUUAAAGAUAAGGGGAAGAAAUUGAACAGAAGCCCAAUGUUUGUAAGGGUUUUCCUAUAUGACACAAACUUUGAUUUAAAAUUGGAGGAAACUCGUGAUGCGGAAGGACAAGCCGCCUUAAGGGCAUCAGGAAAUCUAGAAGUAACAGAUGAAGACAAGUUUACGUUGCUCCAACGGAAAAUCAAACACGUCAAAAAGACUACAGAAAACAUCGAAAAAACAACCUUACCG